GCAUAAUUUUAGUUUUAUAUAAGACAAUUACAUUGAAUCUAUGGUUUUAUUUGUCACGUUUAAUGAGUUAUUGUUUUUAAUCCAUAUAAUAUAAUUGUCUGAUGAAAGCAAUGAGGUCCCUUGAUCCUCCUGUGCCGUUCAGUUCAGCAAUGUCGACCGUUCCAACAUCACUGUCUUGCUGCUGUGGUCGCUCUGGCCCGCCGUUAGUCUAAUCUCCUGACGAGUGAGUUGACAUCCAAAGCAUUUCGGCCGUCCGUCCAUUUCU
rnacentral:lncRNA from 1 species